rnacentral:lncRNA from 1 species
UGAAAAUAUGACCGUUUUAAAAGACCCAUUCCAUUGUUCUUCAGAGAGAGGCGACGAGUUUUGGGGUUUCUCUCUCAAGAGGAACUGGGCAAGUAUUUUUGAAGAUGGAAGAAUUAGAAAAUUAACAAAAAAAACAGAGAGUCACUUUGUACGACAAUUUCUAUAAUUUCUUUGGCUAUAUGAUUAUAUUUCUUUAUUCAUACAUGGAAUGAAUCUAGAUGGAUAGUUUCAAUUCAGGGCAUUGUUCUUUGGUCGAACGGAUGAUCAUUUUGGGCUUCACUGGAUUUCUUUUGGAGAAUUUUCUGAGGGUUUUUAUUUUAUGUACGGUUCUUUUUGCAGUUUUGACGGUUGCCUCAUGAUUAUUCUAUCAAGAACUAGACAAGGAUUCUUGAAGAUGGAUAUCAGUUCUGUUUCAGAGAAAUCAGGAAGUAAGUAAUAAUAAGAUUCUCGACAAAAAAUAGGUCAGUCAUAUUUUCACGACAAAUUUUUAACCUAUAUGAUGAUAAAAUGGGUUUCAGACUUUCAGUGGAUUCUGUUUUUUGUAUUAUCUGAGGAUUUUCAUCGAAUCUCUAAGUUUUGGGAUUCAAAAAUUGUGUUCUCUCUUGUUUCUAUAAUUUCAUUUUCUUUGCAACAAUGUUCUUUGUUGGUUCAUUUGGAUGAAUUUAGUAAGAUAUUUUCUCGGUUGAAUUGAUGAUCAUUUUUGGAUCACUCUAUAAUUAUUUCUGUGAAAUUUCUUUGAGUUUUCGCUGGAUCUUUAAUAUGUUUGGUGUUUCAUUUCAUUCAAUUUAUGGCUAUUUCAGCAAUUGAGUGUACCUCGAGUGACAUUGUUCUUUGUUGUUUGUGUAAUUCCUUUGUCUUUGUAAUUGCGUUGUUUGGUGCAUUUGGAUGGAUCUUGAAGGAUUUGUCCUUUACUGUAUUUGCAAUUAUCGUGGGAAUUUAUAUAUGGGCUGAAUUCAUUGAUGGAAUUUUUGUUUGGUUUGAAUAUUGAUAAGUUUUGGGUUCCCUUUUCAUUUUAUGUAUGGUUACUUCAGCAAUUGUAUUUUGAGUGUAUAAUGUUCUCCUUUUUCUUUAAUUUUUUUUUCUUUACACAUUCUAUUUUGGUACAAUGGCUUGAACAUUGAAGGAUUUUCCUGGGUUCAAUUUUUGGUUUGCUAGAUUUAUUUAUCUAAAUUCUUUGUGGACUUUGUUGAAUCUUUAAUAGAAUUUGUGCUUUUUGUGUAGGGAUUGAAUAAGGAUAAUUGAUAAGGUAUGGGUUCUCUUUUUAUUUUAUGCAUGCUUAUUUCAACAAUUAUGUUUCUUAUCAAGAUAAUAUUCUCUUUAUGUAUGUAAUUCUUGUGUCUUUAUGAUUACAUUCUUUUUGGUACAUUUGGAUGAAUAUUGAAGGAUCUUUUAGUCUAUCUUGUUCUUUGGAUGAUCAAUUUUGGGUUUCACUGGAUUUGUUUAUGUGAAUUCCUUGAGUUGAAUUUUUAAUGUAAUUUGUGCUUCUGGUGUUUGAUUUAUGGUUCAUUUUUUCAUUUUAUGUAUAAUCCUGUGCCUUUUUGAUUACCUUCUUUUUAGUACAUUUGGAUUAACAUUGACGGAUCUUUAGUCUGUCUUGUUCUUUGGAUGAUCAAUCUUGGGUUUCACUAGAUUUGUUUAUGUGAAUUCUGUGGGUUGAAUUUUUAAAUUAAGUUGUGCUUUUUGUGUUUGGUUUGUUCCUUUUUCAUUUUAGUAUCUUAGAGUGAGAGAGAAUGUUCUCUUUGUUUUUCCAAAUUUGAUUGUAGUUAUCUCCGUAAUUUUGAAAUUUGGUUUGUGAUUUUGGUUGUGCUUUUAUUGCACGAGCUUCCAUUACACAUUUCCAUUUUAUGUAUGGUUAAUUCAUCAAUUAUGCCUUUCGAGUUUUUUUUGUUUUUUGUUUUUUUUUAAUGGUUUUGUGAGUUCUUUUUGGGUAAUUUCAUGUUUCUGAUUAAAUUCUCUGAUGGGAUGAAUUUAGAAGGAUACUUUUUGGCUUUUGUUUGUUGGUCCAACUGAUGAUUAGCUUCAAGUGUCAGUGGCAUUGAGAAGGGCUUUUUCCUAGUCUGGUUUCUGAUAUAACUUUCAUGGUUUUCUGGUUCUAUAUCAUACUACUUCCCUCGAUCUUCAUUGUCAAUAAUCUAAUGUGAAUAUUUCUUAAGAGUUCAUUGAUUUCACUUUUGCUCUGUGCUCUAAACUCCCUCAAUCAGAGGUUGAUUUGCUCUUCUAAUUUUAUGUGCUACUAUGUACUAUUACAUUUUGUCGAAUACAAAUUCUCCAAUUUACAGCUGCUUGAAAACACAACCAUUUAAACUUCUUUGCUUUAGCUUGGAUAUUUUUCCUACUAUAAUAUUUGUUAUCUCAUAGUUCUUUUAAGAUGGGAUAUUAUUUUCCUACUACAAUAUUUGUUAUCUCAUAGUUCUUUUCAGAUGUUAACUUACAUAUUUUUAUUUUUGAAGCAACAAAAUCUGUAAACCUGUUAAAGAGGAAUAAAUCAUAUGAAUUCUAUUAUUCUUUGGAAGGCCACUGGCAACAAGCAAGGUUAACAUUUCUGAUGCAUAAAUAUUAUUUAUACUGGCACGAUCCUGAUUGAAGCAGCAAGAUUUCAAACUUCUGUUUUGAUACUUAUAUAUGUGCCGAUACUAACCUUCUAGGGAAUGUAUGUGUUUAUAUGCUAGUGGUGCUCAAAAAGAAUUCCUUGUGCGCGAUGGGAAUUGUAACACAUUGGAAUGAUCAGGUAUGUAAUCUCUAAUCUUUUCAUAUCUAUGUGAAUCUUGUUGCUAGAAGAGUACACUUACUUGAAGCCAAAUAUGUCAUUUCAUGCUUCAAUUUUUUUGCUAUACCUUACGCGUUCAAGAGCUCAAUUAGAGUUCUAUAGAAAGUAGCAACACCAAAAAUGUCGUCAGACUUGAAACAACUUCUCUUUGCACCUAUGUCAAGGUUUGUCUCUUAUACAUUUUAAUUUGUUUUUAUUUCAGUUUUCUCUAACUUGGUAAUUUCUUUCAUAAUCAAAGCAUUUUCUAACUCUCAUUGGUUAAUAAUAUGAUCAAAUAAAUGGAUAAGCAUGCCUCGUAGUUAAAUUUGGCUGGGAUUCCUAAAAUACUAGUUUGGCCCUUGAGGAAGCUUCAAUGAGAUUGAAACUUGCUUGGGCUCAAAACAGGUCGAGACUCCUUGAGCUUGAUUUUCGGUCUUUGCGAAGGAUUAUACUUAAAUGGCAUUCAAGAUUUGCUCGUGCUCCAUUCAGCCUUAGGAAGAAAUAUGCACAAACAAGGUCGAGAGUCAUUGACGCUCACUUGGAAUAAGUGUUGCUCGAACCUUGACGACUCUCGGCUUUAGGUUUGUACUUGAAUGUGAUCCACAGUAGUGAGAGGGUUCAACUCGGCCUUAGCAAGAAUAUGCUCGAACUAAGUUUAGAAUAUGCUUGGCCUUAGCAAGAAUAUGCUUGAACUAAGUUGAGAUUCGCUUUGGCCUCAAUAAGAUGAAAUAUUCUUUGACGAGGUCGAGAUUUGGGCCUCAAUAAGUUCAAUUCAACAAUCAACUCUUUUUCUAUGAUUUUUGUAUUAUUAGUGUCUUCCUGAUCAGUUAAUUCCAGUCCAAAUGUCAAUUUACAAUGUGGGACGAUGACAACUAAAUUGAUAUUGACGUUCGUCGUAAUGGUGUUCAAAUGAUACACCUUGCCGACCAAGCUGAUAUGUCACCACCCAUAAACUGAGUCCCUUUGAAUUUAAAGAAUGAUUUUUUUUUUCCCUUCUAAAUUGGGCAGAGAUGACUAAUGCUUUAUUCUGACACCUUGUAUGAGAAGAGCGUUUGCUCUUUUAUGAGCACAUAAAGCAACUCUCUGAGCCCAUUACAGUACAAAUUUUCAAUAUAGUUGCAGCUUUGUGUUGUGAAUUUAAGGAGAAAUUCAGGCAGCCUCCUUUCUUCUGUUUAGAUAAUUGGGAAGGGCGGUGUUAUUCUGCUCGUAAAUUGAAGUUGGGCUCUUCAGACUUGUUGAUUUUUUACUUGAUACUGGUCUAGUAAGCCUAACUACAUAUGUUUGCUAUAAACGCGAAGCAAUCGCAGAACACUUGCAGAAAAUUCUGAAGAGUUAUGGAGACAGUUGGACAGUUGCAAAAUCAGUCUGGUAAAACAGAAUUCGUUUCUCAGAAAGUCAUCAGUUGCUUUCAUUAUUUACUAAUAAUGUUAUUUACUAAUUCAUAAAGGCGGGAUUUGUUAUAAUGCAUAUAUAUUAAUUAUCACGAGAUUUGGUUACAAUCCAGAUAAUAUGUUCCAAUUCAUACAAGCGGUUGCUCCAAGAAGUAAUCGCA